AUGCGGAAAAAACGCCAGGAGCGGCCUCCCCGCGCCUCCCACCCGGCGCCUGCCACCUUGCGCCCGCGCGGUUGGCCGCGCCCGCGCGCCCUCGGCAUCGCCCCGUCGGGCGCUGGCUCCCCACCUGCGCCCAUUUCAGAGCUCGCCCGCCACUUGGCGCCGCGCCCCCGUCUCCGCCCACCCAUCCCGCCCAUAAAUGCGCCCCGCGCUGCCCCAACCCUAGCCGCCUUGACCUCCCCCUCCUCCCCCCGGCCCGCCGGCAUGGCCGCCAUCAGCAGCAGCAGCAGCAGCAAGCGCCGCCCCCCCUCCGCGUCCACCGCCUCCUCCUCCUCCGGCGACGGGAUCGGCGAGUACCGGCCGCAGCUCGUCACCCGGAAGCGGAGGUCCGGCGGGCGCGGGCCCCGCGGCGGCGUCCGGUGGAUGCCGGCCAUCCGACCAGUAAAUGAGCUGGAUUUAAAUAGAGUUGCUCUAGAUCCAAAUCAUCAAGUGGCUGGGUUGCGAGUUAUUCUGCAGAAGGAGCUCCGUAAUAGUGACAUAAGCCAGCUUGGGAGAAUUGUUCUCCCGAAGAAAGAGUCGGAGGCUUACCUCCCAAUUCUGACAUCAAAGGAUGGCAGAAGUCUACGCAUGCAUGAUUUGCUAAAUGCACAACUGUGGACAUUCAAGUACAGAUACUGGCCCAACAACAAGAGCAGGAUGUAUGUACUUGAGAAUACUGGGGAUUAUGUCCGAACCCAUAACCUUCGAGUGGGAGACUUCAUCAUGAUAUACAAAGACGAUGACAAAAACCGAUUUGUCAUCCGAGCAAAGAAGGCGGGAGAUGAUCUAGUUGCUUCUUUGCCACAAUUCCACGAGCAUAUCUCUUCCAUUCUGCCAAUUCCAGAAGUUGAUGACUAUGUGUCUCUAAUCCCACCACCAGCUGACAUCUCUGCCUUUGCGCCACAAGCUGAUGAGAAUUACGAGAUGUUCGAUGGGAUUUUCAACUCUCUACCAGAGAUACCGGUAGCCAAUGUGAGGUACUCAGACUUCUUCGACCCAUUCAGUGAUUGUAUGGACAUGUCGAAUCCUGGCCUGAACGCCAACAACUCAGCUAACCUUGCCAGUCAUUUCCAUGAUGAGAGGACUGGGCUUUCUUUGUUUCCCAACCCAAAGUCUGGGCCUCUGAUGUGA
rnacentral:rRNA from 1 species